rnacentral:rRNA from 1 species
GAUGAAUGCUGGCGGCGUGCCUAAUACAUGCAAGUCGAGCGGCAGCGCGUCUAGUUUACUAGAUGGCGGCGAGCGGCGGACGGCUGAGUAACGCGUAGGAAUGUGCCCCAAAGUGAGGAAUAACUGCCCGAAAGGGUAGCUAAUGCCGCAUAUGGUCUUCGGAUUAAAGGAUUUAUCCGCUUUGGGAGCAGCCUGCGUACGAUUAGAUAGUUGGUGAGGUAAUGGCUCACCAAGUCGACGAUCGUUAGCUGGUCUGAGAGGAUGAUCAGCCAGACUGGAACUGAGACACGGUCCAGACUCCUACGGGAGGCAGCAGUAAAGAAUCUUCCACAAUGGCGAAAGCCUGAUGGAGCAACGCCGCGUGCAGGAUGAAAGGCCUCGGUUGUAACUGC